CCUACGGGAGGCAGCAGUGAGGAAUAUUGGUCAAUGGACGAGAGUCUGAACCAGCCAAGUAGCGUGAAGGAUGACUGCCCUAUGGGUUGUAAACUUCUUUUAUAUGGGAAUAAAAUGUUCCACGUGUGGGAUUUUGUAUGUACCAUAUGAAUAAGGAUCGGCUAACUCCGUGCCAGCAGCCGCGGUAAUACGGAGGAUCCGAGCGUUAACCGGAUUUAUUGGGUUUAAAGGGAGCGUAGGUGGAUUGUUAAGUCAGUUGUGAAAGUUUGCGGCUCAACCGUAAAAUUGCAGUUGAAACUGGCAGUCUUGAGUACAGGAGAGGUGGGCGGAAUUCGUGGUGUAGCGGUGAAAUGCUUAGAUAUCACGAAGAACUCCGAUUGCGAAGGCAGUUCACUGGACUGCAACUGACACUGAGGCUCGAAAGUGUGGGUAUCAAACAGGAUUAGAUACCCGGGUAGUC
rnacentral:rRNA from 1 species